rnacentral:rRNA from 1 species
AGUGAACGCUGGCGGCAGGCCUAACACAUGCAAGUCGAACGGCCACACAGUGAGCGUUUGCUCUUACGGGUGGCGAGUGGCGGACGGGUGAGGAAUACAUCGGAAUCUUCUUUUUCGUGGGGGAUUACGUAGGGCCACUUACGCUAAUACCGCAUAUGAUCUACGGCUGAAAGCAGUGGUUCUUCGGACCUUUCCCGUUUCAAUGAGCUGAUGUCGGAUUAGCUAGUUGGCUGGGUAACGGCCCACCAAGGCGACGAUCCGUAGCUGGUCUGAGAGGAUGAUCGGCCACACUGGAACUGAGACACGGUCCAGACUCCUACGGGAGGCAGCAGUAGGGAAUAUUGGACAAUGGGCGCAAGCCUGACCCAGCAAUGCCGCGUGAGUGAAGAAGGCCUUCGGGUUGUAAAGCUCUUUUAUUAGGGAAGAAAAGCAGCAGAAUUAUACCCGGCUGUUCUGACGGUACCCAAAGAAUAAGCACCGGCUAACUUCGUG